GCAGAGUUCCCAUAAUGGUAUUGGAGCAGAUUGCUAAUCUGUCGGUCGUUAAUUCGGCUUGUGGGUUCGAGUCCUACACUCUGCG
rnacentral:tRNA from 1 species